ensembl:lncRNA
GUGAUUCUAGCAAGAAGGCUUAACUCUCUACCAUAGUGUAUUAAGGGGCUGCUGCCAUCUAGGGGGGCAUAGCAAAUGAGUCGAGCAAGAAGAGGUGUUGCCAUGGUGUUUGAGUAAUGUCCAUGGGGUAAGUGAGCCACUGCCAGGCGCCAGCUGAGCUGAGUGGUUUGGUAGAGUGUGGGUGGUGGCUGGUUCAGGUGAUGUAUCACAGGUACCUUGAGUCAGACAAGUGAGUGGGUGGCCUGGGUGGCUUGGGAGCCAUUUUGGCUUCAUCACAGCACAAGACUGUGUCCUGUCCUCAUAAGACAGCACUGUAUGGUGUGUACAAAAGAAGCAGAAGGGUAUAGUGAGGCCCCAGAGGUGUGUUGUCCUGGUAAUUGCAGCUUUGAAGUUUGAAAGGGCAAACAAGGAAAUGGAUUUAAACACUCAUUCAACACCUACUUACUAAGCGCCUGUUAUGUGUCAGGUGUUGUUAGGCGUUGGGAGUAAAUACAGUAGUGUACACCACCAGGUGUCUGCCCUUGUGGAGCUUAUACUUCUGAGAGACAAAUAUGAAAGAUAGGAAUAAUGUGCUAUGAAGAGAAAUAGAGCGGGCAGGAGGCAAGAGGGUGAAGAGAGAGAGCCUUUUAGCCAGAGCCUGCACAUACUGUUGUACAGGUUGUCCACUGCACAACUCAACAAGUUUGUGAAUUAUGACAGUUUUCUGCCUAGUGGCAAGAAUACAUUUUGAUAUAGUGACUUUUUAAUUUAGGUUAAUUUAAAUUUAACAGUGCACUGAUUGGGCUAGUAAUGAAGCUGGUGGUUUCUGAGGAGGUGACAUUGAGCUGAGACCUAAAGGAUGAAAAGGAGCUAUCCCUUCUCACCAGUCUGUAUUAGACACUAUUUAUCACAAGAUGACACUUAUUUUAAAAGAGAAAACUGUAGUUUGUAGAGCAGCCCUGACCAUGACCUGACAACAUCCCCAGAGAUUUCUGCCUUCAGCUGCUGGGGGCAGCAGGAGGGAAGUGGCUGGAUGGGAACCUGUUGUAGUCCAGGCUGAGAUUUUCUGACCAGAGCCUCAUGCCUCCACCCGAGCAGCAGGACAUGGCUAGAGAAAUUGACACAACUGUACUAAUAGGGACUCGUUCAUGCAAACGUCAAAUCGACCAUAGUUACUGCCAGACACUCCCUUCUGCUUCUUGAGGUUCUUUCUCUGGCUUCAAAAGGACUGAUUCACAUGGUCUCUUCUCACAUUGCCAGCACCUCCCCUCCAGAACUCUAGCAUUCUGAUGACCUUGCCUAGUAAUACUUCCGAGUGCAAUCAGACAAGAUCAGAUCUUUCUUCCUGCCACCACGUCCACUAACCUUUCUGCAGCUGUAUCUAUGUCAACCUCUGCAGUUAGAUUAUUCCCAGUAGCAUAGAAACAUGGCUCCAGUAUCUUCAAUCCUAAAAACAAACUCCUUUGAGCUCACAGCCCCCUUAAGUGUCUGCCUCUUUUCUGUGUUCCUCUUAGCAAAACUCCUUCAAAAAACUGUUAUCUGUUCUCCGUCCAUCUUCUCAUAUUACACUCUUCUCACACCAUUCUACUGAAAUAAUUGGCUUUAUCAAAGUUUUUAUGUUGCCAAACAUAGUAGAUCUUUUUUACUUUAUUAAAUUCCAGUUUUUAGCAUUUGAAGCAAUUGGCCAAAACAAUUUUCUGGAAAUAAUUUCUUUCCUUUUGUACCAUUACACUAGAUUUGCUUGUUUUCUUCCUCUCCUUUUGACUGCUACUUCCUAAAUCCCUUUGCUAAUUCUUCCUGUCCUUUAAAUGUUAGAGCGGCUCAGUGCUUAGGUCUUUCUCUACCUAGGUGAUCUCAUCUAGUCUCAUCUACAUGCCGAAGAGUCCCCAGUUUAUAUCCUUAGCCCAACUUCUCCCCUAAGCUCCAAAAUUAUUUAUCCAACUGCCUCCUUGACGUGACUCACGUGUCUAACAUGCGUCUCAAACUGAAUUCCUGAUCUCCUCCCACCCGAACUCCUGGUGUUCUCUAUUUCGGUAAAUAGUACCACCGUUCACACGGUUAGCCUCCACAUGUAGCCCAUUAGCUAGACCUCCAAAUACAUCUUUCCCCUCAUUUCCACUGCCCUUGCCCUAGUUCGAGCCUCCUAAAAGAUUUUACUACUUCCCUCCCCCUCCAAUCCAUUCUCCACAGAGUGAUCUUUCUAAACCGUACAUCAGAUAAUGCCACUUGCGGCUUACCCUCCAUCCCCUGAGGUUGCUUAAUGCAAAUAGAAUAAAAUCCAGCGUUCUUAAGAUGCCCCCCAAAAAGCUCUUCAUGAUUUGGUCCUUACCUUCAUCUCUUUUCACUCUCCCCCCAUUCGUUAAGCUCUAACGAUGCUGGCCUUGCUCUUCCUGGAAGAUUCCAAGUUCAUUCUUACCUUAGAGCCUUUGCAUGUGCUCUACUCGAACACUUCUCCCACUUUCCAUGGCGGGUACUUCUUCAGCAGGUUUCUGCUUAAAUGUAUGGCUGCCCCUCGCCCCCGCUCCCUCCUUCACUUUCUAGAUCAACUCUUAUUUUCUUCACAGUACCUAUCUACCUAAAAUUCUCUCAUUUGUGCUUAUCACAUUUAACCCACUAGCAGACAAACUCCCUGAGGGCAGAAGUCCUUUUUCUGUCUUGUUUACCACUUCCUACAACUAAGGAGGGCAGAGAGGGUACCAGAUACAUAUUCAUUGACUGCCUGGCGCUGUCCACACUGGCAGCUUUCUGGGCCUGUUAGUGAGUCAUUGGCUGGGCCUGGACUCGAGAUUCUCCUGGGGAAAUCCUUGCCACUCAGUGGCCCCUUGGCAGACAGGCCUUCCUGACUGGGCAUUAAGCAGUCACAAACUGGCACUUGGCUUGUAGGACAUACUCAAGUCAUAUUUGCACUCCACUCACUCAGGUCUCCCUGAGUCUGGCUCCUGUAAUGCUCAGCAUCUCAGGGCCUAUCCUGGAGCUCCAUAGGCAGCCAGCUGGCAGGCCCAGCUGCGCUCUUCCAGACAGAUUGCCCUCUCUGGUGAUCUUUAACCCAGUGUGCUGGCUCCAGAUGCCACGUUGGUACUGGGGUCCUCUGGAAUCGCACAGGGGCAGAUGGGUGGGAGGACAUACCGGGAGAUGGUAGGUCAUGCCUGUCAUGGCUUUGUUAUCUGCAAAAGAGCCCUUGAUGCACUGCACUGUCCUGCUCCUGACUGAGUCUACCCAGCCCCUGUUGCCAGGGCUUGCUGUGUGUGAACUCAAUUUCACAGAAGGACAUUGUGGCCCACAGGGCUGGAGGCUACUUCCAGGGUCACACUGUGGGUGUGUGAUCAAGCUGCACUGGCAUUCAGCCUUUGAUGGCUAGACCAGGGAUCUGGACAGGAGAGAGGGCAGCUUCUGGAGGCAUCUCAGUGAGGGGGCAGGCCCACUGAAGAUGCUCUCUUUGGAUGGCCGUCUGGCUGUUUGGCACCAUCUGCUGGCUGGAGCCGAUCAGUGCUGGUAGUUCUUGGGGAUUGGCCGGGACCAGACUGUAGCGCAACCCCAUUCCUGUGCCUUCCUUUGCUGGGCCCACUGUGGCCACUCUGAGACCACAGAGGGCACCCACAUAUCCCCACAGACUUUCCCUCUGGGGAAGAGGGUGGAACAAAAGCUUUGACUCAUCUGUGGUGAGUCAGCCAGACCUAGGUUCAAAUUCCACCUCCCCAUUUCCCUGCUGUGUGGCCCGGGGUAGGUUACAUAACCUAUCUCAGCCUCAUGGCCAGGCCCUCUCUGACAACUCUCCACUCCAGCCUGGCGUCCUGGUUCUCUGAUGGUGCUGGGUGCAGAAUGGGUCAGGAAGUUUUCUCCUCUACCAUUUGGGUGGGGAUGCCACUUCUGCCUAAAGCUUCCAUGGCAGCUUCCUGGGGAGGCACUGCACUGGCUGGCUGAGGUAGAAGCAAGGAAGCUGACAAGUGGCCCUUUCUGCAGCUUUGUCCAAGGCCUCAUUUGGACUCUUGGGCCCCAGGCAGAUAAGUCCUCCCUGGGCACAGGGGCCUUGCAACAAUCCCCCACGUUUCCUCCCAACAUCUUCCAUUACUCCUCCAGGCUUGGCUGUGAAGGGUUGGGCAGCCAUGUGAAGGAGAGGUACAGGGGCUCAAAGUUCCUUCAGGAAUUGACACUGGCACCAUGCUAAACAUGCAACAUACAUUAUCAAAUUUUUCACCCCCCCCUUUUUAAAAUUGAAUUAUAACUGGCAUGCAGUACACAUGUAUAAUUAUAGCUCAGUGAAUUUUUAUAUAUGCAUACACCGAUGAAACUACCACCUGGAUCAAGAUAGAGAAUUUCUGGCACCCUAGAAGCUUCCCUCAUCAAUACCUGCCUCCCUGCCAAAGCCUCCCCACCCCCCUGGUACAGAGUUGUAUAUUCUAGUUGUGAGUGCCUCGGUUGUGCUAUGUGGGACGCUGCCUCAGCAUGGCCUGACGAGCAGUACCACGUCGACACCCGCAAUCCGAACCAGUGAAACCCUGGGCCGCUGAAGCGGAGCAUGCAAACUUAACCACUCAGCCAUGGGGCUGGCCCCACAAUAAGUACUCUUGUGUCUAGCUUCUUUUGUUCAACAUUAUGCCUGUGAGAUUCAUCCAUGUUAUCCUUAUGUCAGUAGUUUCUUUUUCAUUGCUGUUUAGUAUUCUAUUGUAUGAAUACUAUACGACAGUUUUAUUUUGUUCACUUUACAGUUGAUGGCUUUGUUAUUUCUAGUUUAGUCUCAUGAAUAAAGUUGCUGUGAACAUCCUUAAACAUAUCUUUUGGUGGACAUAAGGAUUUAUUCCUGUUGGGUGUUUGUCCAGAAUUGGAAUUACUGAGCCAUUGGGUAUAGGUAUGUUUAGGUUUAGUAGAUUUUAGCCAAUUUUCUGAAGUGUGCCAGUUUGAACUCCCACCAGCAAUGUGCGAGAGUUCCAAUUGUUCCACAGUCUUGUCAACACUUGAUAUUGUCAUUCUCUUUUUUUUGUUUGUUUUUGGGUGGGGGGUGGUUUGAGGAAGAUUAGCC